UACGUAGGGCGCAAGCGUUGUCCGGAAUUAUUGGGCGUAAAGCGCUUGUAGGCGGCACGUCAAGUCGCGUGUGAAAUCCCCAGGCUUAACCUGGGAAGUGCGCGCGAAACUGACGAGCUUGAGUGCCGGAGAGGGUCGCGGAAUUCCCGGUGUAGAGGUGAAAUUCGUAGAUAUCGGGAGGAACACCAGUGGCGAAGGCGGCGACCUGGACGGACACUGACGCUGAGACGCGAAAGCGUGGGGAGCAAACAGG
rnacentral:rRNA from 1 species